rnacentral:rRNA from 1 species
CUAUACAUGACUCUGCGCAUAUCAAUAAGCGGAGGAAAAGAAACUAACAAGGAUUCCCUUAGUAACGGCGAGUGAAGCGGGAAGAGCUCAAAUUUGAAAUCUUUAAGGUUUUACCUUGACGAAUUGUAGUUUAAAGAAGUGUUUUCUGCUGAAGUUUUGGUAAAAGUUCUUUGGAAUAGGACAUCAUAGAGGGUGAGAAUCCCGUAUUUGACCAUUAUUUUCAGCUUUGUGAUACACUUUCAAAGAGUCGGAUUGUUUGGGAAUGCAGUCCAAAAUGGGUGGUAAAUUUCAUCUAAAGCUAAAUAUUGGCGAGAGACCGAUAGCGAACAAGUACCGUGAGGGAAAGAUGAAAAGAACUUUGAAAAGAGAGUUAAACAGUACGUGAAAUUGUCAAAAGGGAAGCGUUUGACACCAGUGUUGUUUUCUCGAAAAUCAAUUAAAAAUGGCUCGAUUUUGUAUUGCUUGAGACCUUAAAAGCUCACUGUACAUUUUUCGUGUCUUUUUUAAUGCACUUUUCGUUUAACAAGUCAACAUCAGUUUCCUUUUGUUGUAAAAGGGUCAUUGGAAGGUGGCUUUCUUUUCGGAGAAAGUGUUUAUAGCCUUUGGCCUCUGCAAUCGGAGAGACUGAGGUCUGCAGCGUAGACUCUUCGGGGUUAGAUACAUUUGUGCUAAGUUAUAGCUUUUUAUAGACAACUUGUUGACUAUAAUUAGUCUUGUAGCUUACUCGCUUAUGCUAUUUUACCUACGCUUAGGAUGUUGAAGAUGUAGCACAUCAU